rnacentral:tRNA from 1 species
GCCCCCGUGGUGGAAUUGGCAGACACGCAGGCUUCAGGAGUCUGUGGGAGUAAUCUCGUAGAGGUUCAAAUCCUCUCGGGGGCA